UACGUCGGGAGCAAGCGUUGUCCGGAUUUACUGGGUGUAAAGGGUGCGUAGGCGGCUUUGCAAGUCAGAUGUGAAAUCUAUGGGCUCAACCCAUGAACUGCUUUCAAAACUGUUUUUCUUGAGUAGUGCAGAGGUAGGCGGAAUUCCCGGUGUAGCGGUGGAAUGCGUAGAUAUCGGGAGGAACACCAGUGGCGAAGGCGGCCUACUGGGCACCAACUGACGCUGAGGCUCGAAAGUGUGGGUAGCAAACAGG
rnacentral:rRNA from 1 species